UACGGAGGGAGCUAGCGUUGUUCGGAUAUACUGGGCGUAAAGCGCACGUAGGCGGCGCCGUAAGUCAGGGGUGAAAUCCCGGAGCUCAACUCCGGAACUGCCCUUGAAACUGCAGUGCUAGAAUCUUGGAGAGGCGAGUGGAAUUCAGAGUGUAGAGGUGAAAUUCGUAGAUAUUCGGAAGAACACCAGUGGCGAAGGCGACUCGCUGGACAAGUAUUGACGCUGAGGUGCGAAAGCGUGGGGAGCAAACAGG
rnacentral:rRNA from 1 species